rnacentral:rRNA from 1 species
AGUGAACGCUGGCGGUAGGCCUAACACAUGCAAGUCGAACGGCAGCACAGUAAGAGCUUGCUCUUACGGGUGGCGAGUGGCGGACGGGUGAGGAAUACAUCGGAAUCUACUUUUUCGUGGGGGAUAACGUAGGGAAACUUACGCUAAUACCGCAUACGACCUACGGGUGAAAGCAGGGGAUCUUCGGACCUUGCACGAUUGAAUGAGCCGAUGUCGGAUUAGCUAGUUGGCGGGGUAAAGGCCCACCAAGGCGACGAUCCGUAGCUGGUCUGAGAGGAUGAUCAGCCACACUGGAACUGAGACACGGUCCAGACUCCUACGGGAGGCAGCAGUGGGGAAUAUUGGACAAUGGGCGCAAGCCUGAUCCAGCCAUACUGCGUGGGUGAAGAAGGCCUUCGGGUUGUAAAGCCCUUUUGUUGGGAAAGAAAAGCAGCAGGUUAAUACCCCGCUGUUCUGACGGUACCCAAAGAAUAAGCACCGGCUAACUUCGUG